GGGGGCAUAAAGAGACCUGGGGUCCAAGAAGGGCUAUUUCACAACAGAGAAAUAUCAUUCUGAUUGCCUUUUAGAAAAGAAAACAUCUAUGCCCUUUGUAUGCAUGUGAUGACUUCUCUACUCCAGUCUUUAAAAGGGUUUAUAUGAAGAAAAAAAAAGUGCCAUAAAUAAAUUCUUCACCCUUCUUAAUCCUGAAUAACAGAAUUCAGGACUAAGAGCAUGAGACUGAACUGAGCACAAAACCCAAUAUCUUAUGUUCUGAUUUCAUCAAAUAGCAGCAGAAUGAGCAUAAUGGAUGCUAAAGACUCUGGGAGACAGCAAAUCGAUGGAAAUAAAGGACGAAUUCUAUAAACAGCAACUGUAUUUCCAGAACAAUUUACAUGGCUACCAUAUUACCUGGUCCUCCCACAGUGGCAACAGGGUGGGGGUGGGGGGCGGGGGGAGGGUGUCCAGGAGGAUUAAAACCAUCAAAAGGCCACAUGAACUCCCCAAAUGGGAAGGGGUCACAUGGCCUGCAAGCUGGUGAUACUCCAGGGUCCUAGCUGGCUGCAGCUGUCCCUGUCUGGUCUCGGAAAGCCACCAUUGCCGGAAGCCCCGAGGUCUGCCCCCCAGAAAGGGCAGCCCAAGCUCCCAGAGGUAGCCCUGGUUGCCCAUGCCUGGAGGUCUCUGGUCUCCGUCUGGGAAACAGAACGCCCCACUCUGCACUUCCCCACACAGCGCUCAUUUGUAAACAGGAAUGUGAGUCAUUAGGCAAGCAGGAGUCCAUUUUCAAGAUCGGCCCAGCUUUACAACUAAGGUAAUCUCAUUCUGCCUUGUCACAGCGGUGACUCACCUUACUGUCUCCCAUCAGAGGUGACAUGGUUUAACCCUCCAACUGUUCCUGGAAGGAACCCAGCAAUAUGAGGGUUGAAAUCCCUGUCUGCUCACUCUGUUUUCUAACAAGGUGCUGAGAGCAAAGAGGCAAGGCCCCCAAGGGCAAGUGUCCCAGAGGAGUUUGGGAAAGAAAUGUAUCUAAGGUUACCAUAGACCACGGCAUCUUUAUUGUCUUCCCAUGGCCUUUCCUCGGGUCUAUACUCCCACAGGGGCCUGUGGCUUAUGCGGAUAUGUUACUUACACACACACACACACACACACACACACACACACACACACACACACACUUACACACACACCCCUCCAUCUAAAACCCAGAUCUGCCAUUCCUGGGAACCUCAGAGCCAAAUCUGCAGGUCAUUUCAACCAAUUCUGUAGGAGCUCCUAGCUUCGAAAUGUGUAAAAUUAUCCUUAUUCCCUUCUUGUCUUCUGGGCGUACCCUGGUUUUCUUUUUUUCUCAUUUCUUUAAAUGUUCAUUUCCAAUCUUUUGGUAUAACGUAAAGUCUUCUAAGCCACUUCAAAUUUUGGAGGAU